rnacentral:lncRNA from 1 species
AAACUAUAAUUAAAUAAACUCUACUUGAAAAAUUAUGCCAAAUGAAACCGAAAUCAAUGUGGAAUGCAAAUUACUAAUUUCGAUCCUCAUGUAGAUUGUUGAUAUGGUCUACAUCGGCAUUUCACUAAUAACAGCAUCUUUGGAUCAGCACAUAUGUGGUGAAGAUCAUAAAAUUUUUAAUGUUUGAUAUGAUAAUAGAUUUUCUUUGAAACUUGGAGUGCUUUGAGAUAUGGAAAAUUUUUUGAGUAUGAAAUUGCAAUCCACAUUAUCAUCUCUAAUUUCAUUUCGAGUAGUCAUGGUACCGCAUAAGUCUGUCUUGUUGUUGGAAGUACAAAUGCACAAUAAAAACAUUUAUUUUAAAUUCAUCAUAAUAAGGCGAAUUGUACGGAUUUUGAGUGACAAAAUGUGAUCAAAGUUGCAAUCGAAAGAUUUUCAAGGGACUUGUAUACAUUUUGAGUGGUUUUUUUCUUUGAAAAAAAAUUCCAUAAUAUUCAACUAGGCUUAACAAUGAAAGCUGAAACAUCGCUCAUGAUGAAGAAUUAAGCUAAAGAGAGGACAGCCCAAAUUUACACCAAAGGAACAAUUUUAUGACAAGAACUUUUGCUUAAAUGGAGAGAGGGUCGAUGCAGAUGAAAGGCAGCAAGCACGUGGUGGCACGAGAAUUUACAUGACAUAUUCAUCGUCAUCGCGCAAAAAUUGACUUGAAAAUUGGCUGAGCUGUUGAGUAGACUAGAUGCGGUGAAUGAACACUCACUCAAGUCAAAGCAAUAGCAAGGCCAUGGCCCAAGAGUGAAGAGUUAACAUGCAUUCAACCUAUUUUUAAAUUAAAGCUCAGCUAGAGUUGUCAUUCAUGCAUGAAACAAGAGUUUGUGUUUUUUUUUCCCCUCAAAUAUUGAUAUACACGAUUAUUACUAAUAUUACAUUAGAGAUUAUAAUUGGUAUUUACAAAUCAUAUUAUAUAAUUAAAUCUCGUGUACAUUCAGUGGCGGAUCUAGAAAAAUAAUUUACCGGGGGCUAAAUUAAAUAACAACAAAAUGUAAAAAUUGAAAUUUGAAUAUAUAAAAUUUUUUAUAACACAUUUACAAUUGUUCUCUAUGCGAUUUCAUAUUUUGAAAACGUUGUGCAAUAGACUUAUUUUCAACAUUAUUAAAUACAUCUUUUUCUACAUAAACAAUCAAAUUAUUAUUCAUCCAUUCAUCUCUCGUCCGAUUCCGAAGUUCAUUCUUCACAAAUUUCAUUGCUGAAAAUGUUCUCUCUAUUGUGGUUAUAGAAACUGAAAGAACGAGACUUUU